rnacentral:lncRNA from 1 species
CUAAUGUAAAUAGGCUGAGUGGGGAAACCCAGCCAGCCCCGUCUGUCUAGAUUCUUCUCAGCCUGUCCGAGCACACAUUCCUUUCUUCUGGAUAUGGGGCAGGAUCCUUUCUGGAACGGGGAUCUUAUGACCUGUAGUCAAACAAGGAUCUUGCUGCGUCACUCAGGCUGGAGUGCAGUGGCACAAUCACGGCUCAUUGCAACCUCGACUCCCCAGGUUCAAGCAAUCCUCCCACUUCAACCUCCAAAGUAGCUAGGACUACAGGUGUGGCCAUGCCUAGCUAACUUUUAAAAUUUGUUCUAGAGAUGGGGUCUCACUCUAUUGCCCAGGCUGGUCUUGAACUCCUGAGCUCAAAUGUCCCACCAACCUUGUGCUCCCAAAGUGCUGGGAUUAUGAGUGUGAGCCACUGCAUCUGGUGGCUUCCUUUUUUUAAUCCCAAUUUUUUAUUCCUUAAAAAUUUUUCCAGGUGUACAUUGUAAAAUUUGUUUUCUAUUUUACCAUUUUUCCAAAUGGCUACCCAGUUGUCCCAACAGCAUAUAUUAAAUAUUCUAUCUUCUCUAUUGAUGUGAAUUGCCAUCCUUAACAUUUACUAAAUUUGCUUAUUAUUGAUUGAUUUUGGAGAAGGGGUCUCACUUUGUCAUACAGGCUGAAGUGCAGAGGUGUAAUUACAACCCACUGCAGCCUCUACCUUCUGGGCUCAAGUGAUCCUCCCCACUCAGCCUCCUGAGUAGCUGGGACCACAGGCAUGUGCCACCAUGACUGGCUAAUUUUUAAAUUUUUUGUAGUGAUAAGGUCUCUCUAUGUUGCUCCAGCUGGUCUCCAACUCCUGGGUUCAAGGAAUGCUCCCACCUCUGCCUCCCAAAGUGCUGGGAUUACAGACAUGACCCACCGUGCCCAGGCUGCUUAUUUUUAUUUUUAUUUUUUUGAGACAAGAUUUUGCUCUGUCACCCAGCCUGGAGUGUGUAGUGGCAUGAUCUCAGCUCACUGCACCCUCGACUUCCUGAGCUCAGGUGAUUCUCCCACCUCAGCCUUCUAAGUAGCUGGGACUACAGGCCCACAUCACCACGCCAGGCUAACUUUUGUAUUUUUAGUAGAGACAGGAUUUCAGCGUGUUACCCACGCUGGUCUCAAACUCCUGGGCUCAAGCAAUCCUCCCACCUCGGGCUCCAAAAAUGCUAGGAUUACAGGCGUGAGCCACCCAGCCUGGCCUGCUUAUGAAUUUUGGUCUAGUUUUAGACAUCCUAUUCUACAACUUGGCUAGUCUGUUUAUUCAUGUAUCAGCUGUUUUAACUAUUAAGGUGUUAUAUGUCCUAUCUAGAAGGGCCAAUCCUCCUGUGUUGCUCUUCAUUGUUAUAAUUUUCCUGGUUGUUUUUGCUUAUUUAUCUUUUCAAAUGAAUGUCAGUGUUAACUUGCCUGGUUUAAAAAACCGUAUUUUAUUGAAGUUGUAUUAAGAGAAUAAAAAACUGUGGAUAAUUAAAAUUUUUAUGGUAUCAAUUUUUUUCUCAUUCUAACAAAAAGUAUGACUUUCCUUUUUUUUUUUUUUUGUCUUGCGAUGGAGUCUCACUCUGUCGCCCAGGCUGGAGUGCAGUGGCUCGAUCUCAGCUCGCUGCAGCUGUGUCCAGAACUGGUGGGUUCUUGGUCUCACUGACUUCAAGAAUGAAGCCGCGGACCCUUGUGGUGUUUCUGGGUGAGAUUAACCUGAUUGGUAAAGUGAGUCAAGCAGAUGGCCCUCUCUAAUGUAGGUGUGACUCAACCAAUCAGUUGAAAACCUGAACACAACAAAAGGCUGAGUAAGAGGGAAGUCCUCCUGCCUGACUGCUUUGAGCUGAAACAUUGGCUCUCCCCACGUCUUGAGCCUGCCAGCCUUCAGACUGGAACCAGCACUAUUGACUCUCCUGGGUCUCCAGCUUACUGACUGAAGAACUUGGGAACUUACUGACUGAAGCCUCCAUAAUGAAAUGAGUCAAUUUCUGAGAGAGAGAGUGUGAGAGGGAGACUUUCAUCCUAUUGGUUCUGUUUUUCUGCAGAACUCUGACUAAUCCAGUGGAUCAUGUCUUUGAUAUUAAUUUUGUAUAUCCAUAGCACAUAGUAGUACAUCACGAGUAUGUUAGAAACUUAAAAUAGACGUUUAGAAGCAGAGUGUUCCUUGAUCAAAUGAUUCAUGAAACCUAAAGUCAGUUACUCUGACAUAAAAAUUGACUACACAUUUGCUAAAUCCUUGAGUGCAGGUACUGUUGCACUUGUUGGGUUUGAUAUAGGUGGAAAUAAAGGCAGUGAGAAAUGCAGUAUUGAUCUUGAUUAGGUGGUAUGCUGAGUCACUAUAUUUGAAUGAGGAAUUGUAAUUAUAGCACAUAAUACAGCAUGAUUUUCAUAAAAAAAGGUAUUAUUUAAAUGACAGGUUAAACUCAUUUACCUUUGUCAAAAGCCCAUGUAUAUCUUCUGAAAAUUCAUAAUAUUGUAAGUGACAGAAGAAGGGUUCUAUUUAUCAAUGCUACCAUAAGAUUUGUAAACCAGUUAAAGCAUGUCAUCUUUCCUGCAGCGAUUAGUGCUUUUGAUCCAAGUCAGGGCAUGCAUUUAGAGUUGUUUUUCAAAUUGUGGUGAUGAAUAUCUUGUCUGAUUUCACCUAUAACCCUUGAAAUGGAUAUGCAGGAAGACUAAUCAAGAUAAAAGUUUUAAUGCGUUGUUAUAAAACAGAGUGAAAUUAUGACUGGUUCAUGCUCAAUUUUAACUCCACAGCCUUAGCCUCAUUGGGUUGUGUAGUAACCAAAUUAAUGGAUUAAAGUUAGAAAAUGUGCCAAACCAUAAACCAGAGAUAAGUAAGCAGAAAACUGCACUGUCAUGAAUGGACAUCGUUCUAGUCACUUCUGAGUGUGAUGGCAUGAGUAUUCUCACAUGAAAGACUAUUGUAAACUCUUACAUUUGUUAAAACCAAACACUUACAGUCUUUACAUGAACAUUAUAAACACAAUUUAUAAAAAUAUAUAAUGUUGCUUUUCUCUUGAGAUGUUUCAGCUGAGAAAUCUGAGAAGGUAGAAACAUUGAACUGCAAAAUGCAACUAUCCUCUAAAAUACCUGGUAGUCUAGAUUUGCUACCGAUGUAAUUUUUAUACACAUUUCAGAAAGUAAUUUUUUCCCCAAUACUUUGCUGGAUUGCCCAUAGGAAUAUAAAAAAAAACACACAUGCUAAUGUUGCCCACCUGAUAUUGAGCAGCACGAUAGAGUUAGACUCCUGAGCUGCAACUUCUGGGUCAAAAGUUGAUGCUAUUUCAGGGUAGUAAGCACAGCAUCCCUGUUGCCAGGAGGAAAUGUAUUUUCAGCUCUGCUCUCAUUAGGUGGUUUUUUGUCCUCUUCAAAUAUGAGGAAAAUAAAAUCCUCUUCAUCACCUCAACACAGUGGGGACUCAAAGUGCAUACUCCCCAAGGGACACAGAGGGCUCAGAAUAGAGACAAAUGGGGAUGACAUUUUGCAGGUAUAUUGGAGAACAGUGAAGACAACCAC